rnacentral:miRNA from 1 species
CAAUACUAUGAUUAAUGGGUAUUAUAGGGUUAAGAACGUGGAGGAAGCUGAGAAAUAUUUUGCGGAGAUGAAGGGAAGAGAUAUAGUUCCUAAUGUAAUUACUUAUACCACCAUGAUUAAAGGG